rnacentral:ncRNA from 2 species
AUAACGAAUUGGGGAGAGCCUGCAACACACGCAGCGCCGAAGGUGAAGUCGCAACAAACUCUCAGGCAAAAGGACCGAAUUCUGACG